GAUGAACGCUAGCGGCAGGCCUAACACAUGCAAGUCGAGGGGUAGCAGGAUUAAGCUUGCUUAAUUGCUGACGACCGGCGCACGGGUGCGUAACGCGUAUGCAACCUACCUUAUACUGGGGUAUAGCCCGGAGAAAUUCGGAUUAAUCCCCCAUAGUACUAAUGAAUCGCAUGGUUUAUUAGUUAAAGCAUUGCGGUAUAAGAUGGGCAUGCGUCCUAUUAGCUAGAUGGUGAGGUAACGGCUCACCAUGGCUACGAUAGGUAGGGGGCCUGAGCGGGUGGUACCCCGCACGUGUACUGGAACACGACGCAGACUCCUCCGUGAGGCAGCAGUGAGGAAUAUUGGUCAAUGGGCGCAAGCCUGAACCAGCCAUGCCGCGUGCAGGAAGAAUGCCCUAUGGGUUGUAAGCUGCUUUUAUUUGGGAAUAAACCUCUUUACGUGUAGGGAUCUGAAGGUACCAAAUGAAUAAGCACCGGCUAACUCCGUGCCAGCCGCCGCCGUAA
rnacentral:rRNA from 1 species